rnacentral:rRNA from 1 species
UUUAAGGUCUAACCUGCCCAAUGAGGAUUUAAAUGGCCGCAGUAUUUUGACUGUGCAAAGGUAGCAUAAUUAUUAGUUUUUUAAUUGAAAGCUUGUAUGAAGGGUUGGACGAGAUGAAAUCUGUCUUUAUUUAAAUUAAAGUAUAAUUUAACUUUUAAGUAAGAAGGCUUAAAUGUUUAUAAAAGACGAGAAGACCCUAUAGAUCUUUAUUUAAUUGAAAUUUUAAUAAUUUAGGAUUAUUUUAAUUUAAAGUUUUAAUUGAAUUUUAUUGGGGUAAUAUAAAGAUUAAAUAAAUUCUUUUUAUUUAUAACAUUAAUUUAUGAAUAUAUGAUCCAUUAAUAUUGAUUAUAAGAUUAAGUUACCUUAGGGAUAACAGCGUAAUUUUUUUGGAGAGCUCAUAUCGAUAAAAAAGUUUGCGACCUCGAUGUUGGAUUAAAAAUUAGCUUGGGUGCAGAAGCUCAAGAUUUUGGUCUGUUCGACCAUUAAAUUUUUACAUGAUCUGAGUUCAGACCGGCGUGAGCCAGGUCGGUUUCUAUCUUUAUUAAGAUAAAAUGUUUUAGUACGAAAGGACCAGACAUUUAAUAUAAUUAUAUUUAUUUUUUGAAGAAUAUU